rnacentral:rRNA from 1 species
UACGGAGGGUGCGAGCGUUGUCCGGAAUCACUGGGCGUAAAGGGCGCGUAGGCGGCCUGAUAAGUAGGGGGUGAAAUCCUGAGGCCUAACCUCAGGGCUGCCUUCUAAACUGUCAGGCUCGAGCACAGUAGAGGCAGGUGGAAUUCCCGGUGUAGCGGUGGAAUGCGUAGAGAUCGGGAGGAACACCGGUGGCGAAGGCGGUUCUCUGGGCCUUACCUGACGCUGAGGAGCGAAAGCGUGGGGAGCGAACAGG